CCUACGGGGUGCUGCAGUGGGGAAUAUUGGACAAUGGGCGAAAGCCUGAUCCAGCCAUGCCGCGUGUGUGAAGAAGGCCUUCGGGUUGUAAAGCACUUUCAGUGGGGAAGAAAGCCUUGGGGCUAAUACCCUCGAGGAAGGACAUCACCCACAGAAGAAGCACCGGCUAACUCCGUGCCAGCAGCCGCGGUAAUACGGAGGGUGCGAGCGUUAAUCGGAAUUACUGGGCGUAAAGCGCGCGUAGGCGGUCUGAUAAGCCGGUUGUGAAAGCCCCGGGCUCAACCUGGGAACGGCAUCCGGAACUGUCAGGCUAGAGUGCAGGAGAGGAAGGUAGAAUUCCCGGUGUAGCGGUGAAAUGCGUAGAGAUCGGGAGGAAUACCAGUGGCGAAGGCGGCCUUCUGGACUGACACUGACGCUGAGGUGCGAAAGCGUGGGUAGCAAACAGGAUUAGAUACCCGGUAGUC
rnacentral:rRNA from 1 species